rnacentral:rRNA from 1 species
AGUGAACGCUGGCGGUAGGCCUAACACAUGCAAGUCGAACGGCAGCACAGUAGGAGCUUGCUCUUACGGGUGGCGAGUGGCGGACGGGUGACGAAUACAUCGGAAUCUACUUUUUCGUGGGGGAUAACGUAGGGAAACUUACGCUAAUACCGCAUACGACCUACGGGUGAAAGCAGGGGAUCUUCGGACCUUGCGCGAUUGAAUGAGCCGAUGUCGGAUUAGCUAGUUGGCGGGGUAAAGGCCCACCAAGGCGACGAUCCGUAGCUGGUCUGAGAGGAUGAUCAGCCACACUGGAACUGAGACACGGUCCAGACUCCUACGGGAGGCAGCAGUGGGGAAUAUUGGACAAUGGGCGCAAGCCUGAUCCAGCCAUACCGCGUGGGUGAAGAAGGCCUUCGGGUUGUAAAGCCCUUUUGUUGGGAAAGAAAAGCAGCAGGUUAAUACCCCGCUGUUCUGACGGUACCCAAAGAAUAAGCACCGGCUAACUUCGUG